rnacentral:tRNA from 1 species
GGGGUUGUGGAUCAAUGGUAGAGCACUUGCCUCACGUGUAUGAGGCACUGGGUUUGAUUCUCAGCACCCACA